UUGGGAUGGAUUCUUUACCCAGGUUUGGAAAUGUGUUUCACAGUAACAUGUGCCUCACAUAGUUUGAUGUUCUGCCAUGCAGUCUUCAAAUUAACAUUUUGCUUGCGGCAUUGUGAUGUUAUCAAGACUCUAUCUAGUUGCAUCUAUGUUGUUAUUAUGUUGAUUGAGUGACUAACAUGAUGUCUCUUUUACACAAUUGUAUAUGUAUGGGUGGAUAACAGUGGCGAAGCCAUGUUCCCCCCUUCUCUUUUGCUAUUGUAUCCAUUGAAAGGGCAUUUUUUGCUAUGAAAAUUGUGAAUCAUUGGUUAUGUAAUAGAAUUGGAGAUCAAUAAAUGGUCGAUUGUUUGAUCACAUAUAUUGAGAAUGAUAUUUUUUAUUAGAA
rnacentral:misc_RNA from 1 species